rnacentral:misc_RNA from 1 species
UUUCCGUAGGUGAACCUGCGGAAGGAUCAUUACCACACCAAAUUAAAAAAACUUAUCCCUCGUGAAUUUGUACUGUUCUGUUUUGAGCUAUUUUCGUAUUUUCGGAAUAGUGAAACGAAGGAUUUUAUUUUUGUAAAAGAAAAGAAAAAUCCGAUGUACCCAAUUUAAAUCCCUUUAUUAAAUUAAUAACUAAUGAAUUAUUCUGUGCAAAUGAAAAUUUUUGCCUUUUAAUUUUAAAUACAACUUUCAACAGUGGAUGUCUAGGCUCGC